AGAGUUUGAUCCUGGCUCAGAGUGAACGCUAGUGGCGUGCUUAACACAUGCAAGUCGAACGGACAAUAUUUGUGCCUGCACAAAUAAAGUUAGUGGCAAACGGGUGAGUAAUACAUGGGAAUUUUCCUUGUAGUAUGGAAUAACUAUUGGAAACAAUAGCUAAUACUGUAUAUUGCCGAGAGGUGAAAGAUUUAUCGCUACAAGAUAAGCCCAUGCAAGAUUAGCUAGUUGGUAAGGUAAUGGCUUACCAAGGCAACGAUCUUUAGCUGGUUUGAGAGAAUGAUCAGCCACACUGGAACUUAGACACGGUCCAGACUCCUACGGGAGGCAGCAGUGGGGAAUAUUGGACAAUGGGCGAAAGCCUGAUCCAGCGACGUCACGUGAAUGAUGAAGACCUUAGGGUUGUAAAAUUCUUUUAGUGGAGAAGAUAAUGACGGUAUCCACAGAAAAAGUCCCGGCUAACUUCGUGCCAGCAGCCGCGGUAAUACGAAGGGGCAAGCGUUACUCGGAAUUAUUGGGCGUAAAGCGUGCGUAGGCGGCUUUAUAAGUUGGAAGUGAAAGCCUUUGGCUCAACCAAAGAAUUGCUUACAAAACUGUAGAGCUAGAGUAUUAGAGAGGAUAGAAGAAUUUCUGAUGUAGCGGUGAAAUGCGUAGA
rnacentral:rRNA from 1 species